rnacentral:tRNA from 1 species
AGGAGGGUAGUCUAAAACAAGACCUCUGAUUUCGACUCAGAAGACCGUGGUUAAAAUCCACGCCCCCCUU